CGGCGGACGGGUGAGUAAUGCCUAGGAAUCUGCCUAGUGGUGGGGGAUAACGUUCGGAAACGGACGCUAAUACCGCAUACGUCCUACGGGAGAAAGCGGGGGAUCUUCGGACCUCGCGCCAUUAGAUGAGCCUAGGUCGGAUUAGCUAGUUGGUGAGGUAAUGGCUCACCAAGGCGACGAUCCGUAACUGGUCUGAGAGGAUGAUCAGUCACACUGGAACUGAGACACGGUCCAGACUCCUACGGGAGGCAGCAGUGGGGAAUAUUGGACAAUGGGCGAAAGCCUGAUCCAGCCAUGCCGCGUGUGUGAAGAAGGUCUUCGGAUUGUAAAGCACUUUAAGUUGGGAGGAAGGGUAGUAACCUAAUACGUUGCUACUUUGACGUUACCGACAGAAUAAGCACCGGCUAACUUCGUGCCAGCAGCCGCGGUAAUACGAAGGGUGCAAGCGUUAAUCGGAAUUACUGGGCGUAAAGCGCGCGUAGGUGGUUCAGCAAGUUGGAUGUGAAAGCCCUGGGCUCAACCUGGGAACUGCAUCCAAAACUACUGAGCUAGAGUACGGUAGAGGGUAGUGGAAUUUCCUGUGUAGCGGUGAAAAUGCGUAGAUAUAGGAAGGAACCACCAGUGGGCGAAGGCGACUACCCUGGACUGAUACUGACACUGAGGUGCGAAAGCGUGGGGGAGCAAACAGGAUUAGAUACCCUGGUAGUCCACGCCGUAAACGAUGUCGACUAGCCGUUGGGAUCCUUGAGAUCUUAGUGGCGCANCUAACGCAUUAAGUCGACCGCCUGGGGAGUACGGCCGCAAGGUUAAAACUCAAAUGAAUUGACGGGGGCCCGCACAAGCGGUGGAGCAUGUGGUUUAAUUCGAAGCAACGCGAAGAACCUUACCUGGCCUUGACAUGCUGAGAACUUUCUAGAGAUAGAUUGGUGCCUUCGGGAACUCAGACACAGGUGCUGCAUGGCUGUCGUCAGCUCGUGUCGUGAGAUGUUGGGUUAAGUCCCGUAACGAGCGCAACCCUUGUCCUUAGUUACCAGCACGUUAUGGUGGGCACUCUAAGGAGACUGCCGGUGACAAACCGGAGGAAGGUGGGGAUGACGUCAAGUCAUCAUGGNCCUUACGGCCAGGGCUACACACGUGCUACAAUGGUCGGUACAAAGGGUUGCCAAGCCGCGAGGUGGAGCUAAUCCCAUAAAACCGAUCGUAGUCCGGAUCGCAGUCUGCAACUCGACUGCGUGAAGUCGGAAUCGCUAGUAAUCGUAAU
rnacentral:rRNA from 1 species